rnacentral:rRNA from 1 species
GACGAACGCUGGCGGCGUGCCUAAUACAUGCAAGUCGAACGAAGCUGUUUUAACUGGUGCUUGCACCGACUUAAACAACUGAGUGGCGAACGGGUGAGUAACACGUGGGUAACCUGCCCCAAAGCGGGGGGUAACAUUUGGAAACAGAUGCUAAUACCGCAUAAAAGUCAAAACCACAUGGUUUUGAUUUAAAAGAUGGCCUUUGUGCUAUCACUUCUGGAUGGACCCGCGGCGUAUUAGCUAGUUGGUAAGGUAAUGGCUUACCAAGGCAAUGAUACGUAGCCGAACUUAGAGGUUGAUCGGCCACAAUGGGACUGAGACACGGCCCAUACUCCUACGGGAGGCAGCAGUAGGGAAUCUUCCACAAUGGGCGCAAGCCUGAUGGAGCAACACCGCGUGAGUGAAGAAGGGUUUCGGCUCGUAAAACUCUGUUGUUAAAGAAGAACGUAUCUAAGAGUAACUGCUUAGGUAGUGACGGUAUUUAACCAGAAAGCCACGGCUAACUACGUGCCAGCCGCCGCGGUAA